rnacentral:rRNA from 1 species
UUGCCGUAGCAAUACGGUGAUGGGCGCACGGCGCACGGGUGCGUAACACGUGGGCAAUCUGCCCUUUGAUGGGGAAUAACCCGCCGAAAGGCGGGCUAAUUCCGCAUAAGAUUCCCGGAACUUCGGUUCUGGGAUUGAAAGCAGCAAUGCGUCGAAGGAGGAGCCCGCGCCCGAUUAGCUAGUUGGUGAGGUAAUGGCUCACCAAGGCUUUGAUCGGUAGCUGGUCUGAGAGGAUGAUCAGCCACACUGGAACUGAGACACGGUCCAGACUCCUACGGGAGGCAGCAGUGGGGAAUCUUGCACAAUGGGCGAAAGCCUGAUGCAGCGACGCCGCGUGGGGGAUGAAGCAUUUCGGUGUGUAAACCCCUUUCGACUGGGAAGAAUACCUCGCAAGAGGGGUGACGGUACCAGUAGAAGAAGCCCCGGCUAACUACGUGCCAGCGGCCGCGGUAAGACGUAGGGGGCCAGCGUUGUUCGGAAUUACUGGGUGUAAAGGGUUCGUAGGCGGUGCGGCAAGUUGGGAGUGAAAUCUCUGGGCUUAACCCAGAGGCUGCUUCCAAAACUGCUGUGCUCGAGUGUGAGAGAGGCUCGUGGAAUUGCAGGUGUAGCGGUGAAAUGCGUAGAUAUCUGCAGGAACACCCGUGGCGAAAGCGGCGAGCUGGAUCACUACUGACGCUGAGGAACGAAAGCUAGGGGAGCAAACAGGAUUAGAUACCCUGGUAGUCCUAGCCCUAAACGAUCAGGACUUGGGGUGCCGCCCGUUCGGGCGUCGUCCCGGAGCUAACGCGUUAAGUCCUGCACCUGGGGAGUACGGUCGCAAGACUGAAACUC